rnacentral:rRNA from 1 species
UACGUAGGGGGCAAGCGUUGUCCGGAUUUAUUGGGCGUAAAGAGCUCGUAGGCGGUUUGUCGCGUCUGCCGUGAAAGUCCGGGGCUCAACUCCGGAUCUGCGGUGGGUACGGGCAGACUAGAGUGCAGUAGGGGAGACUGGAAUUCCUGGUGUAGCGGUGAAAUGCGCAGAUAUCAGGAGGAACACCGAUGGCGAAGGCAGGUCUCUGGGCUGUAACUGACGCUGAGGAGCGAAAGCAUGGGGAGCGAACAGG